rnacentral:rRNA from 1 species
UACGUAGGGGCCAAGCGUUGUCCGGAUUUAUUGGGCGUAAAGAGCUCGUAGGCGGUUUGGUAAGUCGGGUGUGAAAUCUCCACGCUCAACGUGGAGGGGCCACUCGAUACUGCCAUGACUCGAGUCCGGAAGAGGCGAGUGGAAUUCCUGGUGUAGCGGUGAAAUGCGCAGAUAUCAGGAGGAACACCAAUGGCGAAGGCAGCUCGCUGGGACGGUACUGACGCUGAGACGCGAAAGCGUGGGGAGCAAACAGG